CCUGAAACCCGAAAGGUCAAGGAAAAAUUCAUCGUGUAUCGCUAUUGGCGGGAUUGUAUAUUUGUUAGACGAUGAAUAAGUCUUAGUCGUCUUUAUUGAUGAUUAUUGAUUUGUUGGUCGCUACAUAUUUUAUUCCGAUACCAAUGGUGAUGGCGUGCAUUUUUCUUCUGGUAGGACGUUGCGAUCCGUUCGAGAUGUGUAUAUCGGUCUAAGACGAUUUGCGGAAGAGUUCAUUAAUACGUGUAUGGAUCACCGUAUAUGUUUAUUAUUAAUGAAUCCGUUUGUGAUCUGGCCGAUUGUGCUCGACGGUAUUAUUAAUGGUUAAAGGUCGCUAUUUUAUUAGCGUUAGAGGCAAGGCAAGUAUGUCAAUUUGUGUAAAAACAUUGUUAUUAUUAUUAUAAUGAUAAUGAUAAUGUUCUCGGUAAUCGGUAUUUAUUAUCAAUUCCGAGCCUUUGGCAUACUGUUGGUCGAGCAUAUCUCUUACACCGACCUUAUUAUUUUGAAUAAAACUAAUCGGCGACGCUAUAGCUUUGGGUACUUUCAGGACCCGUCUUGAAACACGGACCAAGGAGUCUAGCAUGUUCGCAAGCUAUUGGGAAACUAUUUUAAACCUAUAGGCAUAAUGAAAGUAAAAUCAGUUCAUCUUGUAUGAAAUGGAAGGGAAGAUGAAUAAUAAUACAUUUUCGUAUUUUGCUAUAUGAAAUUAUUAUUCCGCAUUCCCGGGGCGUUUCAAUCUCAUUAUGAGAUGAUGCGCACCAAGAGCGUACACGCUGGGACCCGAAAGAUGGUGAACUAUGCCUGGUCAGGACA
rnacentral:rRNA from 1 species